UACGGAGGGUGCGAGCGUUGUCCGGAAUCAUUGGGCGUAAAGGGCGCGUAGGUGGCCCGGUCAGCGUGCGGUGAAAGCUCGGGGCUCAACCCCGAGUCGGCCGUGCGAACUGCUGGGCUCGAGCACUGUAGAGGCAGGCGGAAUUCCGGGUGUAGCGGUGGAAUGCGUAGAGAUCCGGAAGAACACCGGUGGCGAAGGCGGCCUGGCUGGGCAGUGGCUGACACUGAGGCGCGACAGCGUGGGGAGCAA
rnacentral:rRNA from 1 species